AUAUAUAAAAAACACACAACUUUAAGAGGUUUUUGUGAGAACCUUAUGAGAUAAAAACAAAAACUAAGUCCAGAUCCUUAAUCUAGGAUAAAUUUCCUUUCCAACGAUACCAAACACGUUGACAUACGUGACAACAAUUUUUUUGAUUUUUGCCCGCUCAUACAGCACUGUGCGCUGCAAAAUUUUUUAA